AUUCCAGCUCCAAUAGCGUAUAUUAAAGUUGUUGUGGUUAAAAAGCUCGUAGUUGGAUCUCGGCGGACUGAGGGCGGUUUGCUUGCUAGUAUUACUGCCCUAUAGUCCGUAGUUUUGCCAGAGGUUUCGAGGUGCUCUUAAUCGAGUGUCCCGGGAUGCUGGCAGGUUUACUUUGAAAAAAUUAGAGUGCUCAAAGCAGGCUAUUACGCCUGAAUAUUCGUGCAUGGAAUAAUAGAAUAGGAAGUCGUUUCUAUUUUGUUGGUUUCUAGUACUGAAGUAAUGAUUGAUAGGGAUAGUUGGGGGUGCUAGUAUUGGCCGGCCAGAGGUUAAAUUCUUGGAUUCGGUCAAGACUAACUUAUGCGAAAGCAUUCACCAAGGAUGUCUUCAGUA
rnacentral:rRNA from 1 species